rnacentral:tRNA from 1 species
GGAGGUGUGGCUCAGUGGUAGAGUGUUUGCCUCACAUGCAGAAUUGGGUUUGAACCCUUCGGCACUA